rnacentral:lncRNA from 1 species
GCAUUUUGUUCAUGGCUUAGGAUUAGCAAAUACUUAGAAGAGAUGUUAACCAAGAAUUUCAGGCUCAUAUCUAUAAUCUCUCUCUAGGAUCUUGGCCCCUUGAAUCCCUGCCCCUUGGCCUUUCUGGACUCCAGUCUUUGCCUCUAUAGCCCAGUGAAACUCUUUCAAGCACACAGCCAUCCACACACUUACCCUCUCUUCACAGCUCAGGAAAACUGCACAUACUUGCAGAAUGCAUCACACAUUAAUGUCCUUCCCUUCUUUGUUGGAUCUGGGUUGCUCAAAUCCUCAAACAUUGUUUUUAAUCCGUUUUUUAGUCUUGUAUUCAUUGGGGGUGUUAUUCUUAAACAAGCUUCUCUACUGAGACCAAAGAACCAGUGAUUUUUAAAUCUGGAGUAUAUUUUGGGUCUCUGUACUGGCACCAACUGGCUGCUAAAACUGCUCAGCCUUUAUCAUACCAAUACCCUCUUCAAUUGUAGCCUUUGAGUACAAUAUUUAAAAGUAAAUAUUCUUAGUACAUAGAACAUGGAACUGACAGAUGUGCUGUCAAGAAAAUGUCUUCAUUCAUAGGCAGAGAAUCCUUGAUACUCUUCCUAGUAGCUAGUUUUUCAUAAUUGCUAGAGACUAGAAAGGGCUGUGCAUUUCCUAAUAUUCUCUAUUCUUUUUUUUUUUUAUUUUCCCACUGUACAGUAAGGGGAUCAAGUUAUCCUUACAUGUAUACAUUACAAUUACAUUUUUCCCCACCCUUUGUUCUGUUGCAACAUGAGUAUCUAGACAAAGUUCUCAAUGCUAUUCAGCAGGAUCUCCUUGUAAAUCUAGUAUUCUCUAUUCUUUAUUGUAGUUUAAUUUCAUUUUCCUUCUUCUCUUGAAUCAUUGUUCAAAUAUAUCCUGAGCAGGUAACUUGUAAUUUAGUUUAUAUGUUAUCAUAAAAUCACAAAGAGUUAUACAAGACCUGAUGAGAAGGAUUAAACAGUACCCAGAAAUCUUUUUUGACCUGGAUUCCAAAAGGAUAGGGCUGUGUGGUUGUUUCCUUUGAGGAGGUGGGAAGACAUAUUGUAUGAAUGUUGCAUACGAAUGUUGGGGUGCCAAAGUGUGAACUGUGGAAGAGACUGUUUAUUGCUUACCUAACAACAAAUAGACUUAGGUACUGAUCAUACUCCUUACUAAUCAAACUCCGAUUAGUUGUAUACACCAAAAAACCCUAAAAAUUUAUAUUUCCCAACCUUCCUUAGCCACUGACUCAGUUUACAAAGUGAUAUAUAAGCAGAAAUCAUUGAGUAGAGCUUCUAGGAAAGGUCCCUAAAAGAAGAGAAGAAUCAGGUAGUGUAGGUCAUUUCUUUCAUUCUUGUGCUUCUCCUCUUUCUUCUUGCUUAAGAUACUAAUGUAUGGAUUGUAGCUUCUCUCUUCGCUUUCUUUGCAUUAUGAAGGUUAAGCCAGGAUGAUCUCAGUGCUGGGCCUUGACAGCCAUGACCAGUUAAUAUAAAUGUCAGCACCUCAUUUCUGACUUUUUAUAGCAUGGAAAUAUAAAGCUCUAGGUUGUUUAAAGCACUAUACAAUGAUCUCUUUUCCUUGUAGGUAAACUCUACAGUUUCGAGUUUUCAUUAUUAUGAAUAGAAAGCACCAUACAAUAUACUCUUUUCCCCAAAGCACCUUCUAAUUUAUAUUUUAUGGAACUUAAUGUCUAUAAAAUAUAUUUGUUUCACCUGAACUCUAUUAAGAAAAAGACUUGAAACAGACUGGCUAUAAUGUACACAAUGGAUUAAACACAUAGUCCAGUAUUUUUCUAAGAUAUAUCUUUGGUUGCUUAAAAUAAUAGAGGAUUUAGAAUAAUAGUGAUCCACACAUCAAAGACAAUAAAUUAUUUGAACUUACACAUUUUUUUGCAAUGUGUAUUCUAAAUAGAUAGAUAUAUAACUGAAUAUCCGUUCAAUGCUAACCCAUGAACACCAAGAUAUUGCACAACCUAUUUGCUAAUGUUUGACUCUAAUGCUGUUUAUGUGCUCACAAGAAGCAGUUGUUAAAACUUGUUCAGUCUUAUAUUUAAAUCCCUAGGUAUCUGUGUCUAAGUCUCAGAUGAAUUUUUAUUUCAUUAUUUUUCCUCUAGGGCUUAAUUUUGUGUAUUCAUCAAGUAAUUAUUCUAUCUAAUGUCUAUGAAAGCAUCUAGAUUCUUGGGAAUAAAAAGGGGGUAGGGGAGAUACAGAAGACCAAGAGGAAAUGACCAAGAGGAAAGAGAGGGAGCAGAGUGGUACUAUUUCUUCUGUAUUUGCUUUUUACCAAACACUAGGGUAAUAUCACUGAAUGCAUAGUCAUUUAAUCUUCUCAACAUUAUACAAUAGGGACUAUAGUGAUAACUAUUUUAAAAUAUGAAAAGCAAGAUUUAAUGUUUUAUGAGAUUUUCCCCCCAAGUUCAGAGAAGCACUAAUAGAGAAGGGGCACAAUUCACAAAUGUUCCUAUCUCAGAAACCGAUGUACCUUAGUAACACAUAAACUGUGUUUUCUCAGACCUUUCCUUAUUACCACAUGUGGCAGAGGGUGAUACAAGGCAAUUAUUUUCUUCUCCUACAGGUCUACAGUUUGUUCUACUGCUGACUCUCUAGGAUUUAAUGCACUGCUUUCUGGGAAUCUCUAUCUUGGUAUGAAGUUUUACUUGGAUUUUUUUUUCCCUAAAGAACACUGAAAUUAAGAAAAAAUAUUCUAAGACAUUUCUUAUUUGAAAUGGGCCUAGAAGCUUCUAAAUUAAGUUCCUUCAUGACUAAAGGAUGCAUUAACUCUCUAACUAGUCUGUGAAUAAUUUGUAUUUUUCAAGUGAGUGUAUUAUGUCACAAAUUUUGCAUGCUGCACAGCCCUUUAGAGAAUCUGAUGUUUCUUCAAAGGGUAUACUCCAUAGUUAGAAGGAAUUUCUAGAUUACUCAGUUUUUAUCAUUCUUGGUCAUGUGUAAAUCUCACAAUUAUCGCUACUUGCUUGACAUUUUGUUCAGUUCUACCUCUCACAGCUUAAUUGUGUUAGCAAUACAUACAGAUAUAUGUCAAAAGAUCCAACAGUGUUUUAAGGCUUCAUGGUACUCUAUUGCAACUACCAUUACUGUUACUCUGUUAUUUCAGUGCCAUUCAUUACCACUUCCCCCUGAGCACUGGUACAUGAUCAUGUGCCUCCAGAUUGUAUGAGAGCCUGUGAUCACUGCUGGGGCAGCAAUGGCUUCCACAGUGGCACCUGCAAAGUGAACUACAGUUAUAAGAGCAAAUAUGUAAGAAGAAGUCUCUCUAUUUUGGUUUAUAUCUGAAAUCCAAAAAGCUAAGUUGAUGAUCACUGGAUAAAUGGUACUCAAAAUUUUGAGAGCUAUCACUGCCAGAUUAAGGGGAAAAAACUAUUCUAUUCAUUAAUUCCUAUUCCUCAAAACUAUUCAACUUUCAGGCCUUAAAAUUGAUUUUUGAUCAAAAAUAUAUUUUUGAUCAUGAAUAAUGUGAUAUAAAGAAUGAGAUUAGCAAGUCCACUGUCCUCCUUAUCUUUGCUUGACAUCAAUUGUAGACGCAUUUUAUGUCACCAACAUAAUGCCCCAAAUCAUCUUUGGCAGAGAAUUUUACACAAGGCCCAGCACUUCAAAGUCAAUGAGUUUCUGUAUCUAUCUACUAUCAAUACACUGAACCUAACAAUAUCUGCACACAUAUACACAUACUUUGGAUUAGGCUACUAAUUCAAACCUCUUCCACAUUCAGAAGAAUUUGUUUUAAAAAUCUAGCUGCUUCUUCCAUAUGUAGCAUAGACUCUGUGCUUUCCAUAAAAUUUUUCUGCCUUGAGACUCACGGGCACCUCAAGCACAUGUGCUCUAAAAACCUCUACAAUCAAAGGUACCCGUGAUUGAUUAAAUUAUUAACAUGGUUACAAUAAGAGGCAAAGUCAAAACUUGCCCAAGAAGAUGAGAUACGGCAAAUGUGGCAGAGGGUGAUACAAGGCAAUCCGGUCUGAAGUUUUACUUGGAUUUAUUUUUUCCCUAAAGAGUACUGAAAUUAAGAAAAAAAUAUCCUUAAGAAUAUUUCUUAAGAUGAGAUAGUGUUUUACAUAGUACAUGAUCUGUUGCUUUUAAAGAGGUCACAUCAGGGUGAUGUUUCAUAGAAUGCUGAGUAGGCCAUAUGUCUAUCAAACAUACUGCAAUUUCCCAAGUGCUUUUAAAAGGGAGUGGAUAGGAGAAGAGACUUGUGGUUGCCUGAUGGGAGGGGGAAGGAGUGGGAGGGAUCGGGAGCUUGGGCUUAUCAGACACAACUUAGAAUAGAUUUACAAGGAGAUCCUGCUGAAUAGCAUUGAGAACUAUGUCUAGAUACUCAUGUUGCAACAGAAGAAAGGGUGGGGGAAAAACUGUAAUUGUAAUGUAUAACAAUUACAAUGUAAGGAUAACCUGACCCCCUUGCUGUACAGUGGGAAAAUAAAAAAAAAAAAAAAAGGGAAAUCAAGACUGUACCAUAAAUGUCACUGUAGAAUCAUUGACAAAGUAAGCAAUGCAAGCCACACUCUCCUUUACUAGGGAUUUUGUGGCCAGAGCAAGGAAGACGUAGACCUCUUAUGGCAGACCAAACUUUGGGUCCCAAUUCUUCAUCCCUCUUUGUGUCUAGCUUUGCUCUGUGACUUUGAAAAUCUUAAUUCAAAAUAUAUGUCUUUGCCUCUUGAUUUUGAGCUUGACUCAAAAUGCUAGAAGAGUGACUCAAGCAAAAGACUGAAAUGUGGUUGUGUGGUUGAUACCGUUGUAUGCUCUGGCCACCACUGAGAACAAAUAUUCUCUUAAAGCCCACUGGUCUCAGAGGAAUGAGUAAGUUAUAGAAUAGACCAAACCAAAUGUGUAGCUGGAAACUAAACCUAAUUACGUCCUGCUGGUAGCAAUAGACACCCCCAGAUGCAUUGCAUACCAUGAAUAAAAAUAAAUGAGUGUUAUUUUAAGCCAAGUUUUGGGGUGAUAUAGUCUGCUGCUUUACUAUGGCAAAAGCUGUCCAUUAAAGAAGGUGGUACUGGAAAAUGAGGUGCCAUUGCAAUGAAAACUUAAAAUAUGAUUUUGAUCAAGGCUGUAGGCCGCAAGAAAACUGCUAUAAAUGGUCAAAAAUGAGGAAACUAUUACGAGACCCUAGAAAUAUUUGACCUGUGGAACACAGUAUUGAAACAUUUAUUAAAGUUAUUACCUACAACUGGAAGAUGAUAUACCUGAUAAACAUAUAGAGGUACAAAAACAUGAAAUCUGAAAAGAAACAUUCUGUUUUCAAGCAGUACUUAGAUGUACUAGAGACAAUACACAACUGCUGAGUGAAAUUAUUUUUCACCAAAUUAAAGUUGCAGCUAAUAAGAUACAGCCUCAAGGAAAAAGCCUAAUUCAGAGAUUAUCAUUUAAAAUACCUCAGGUUACAGAUCCAGUGAAGGUUGUUAUCUUCAAAUCUUUUGUUAACACUUCUAAAAUAAUUAACAUCCCUUAUAAAUCAUGGCUCUAAAAUAACUAAUAUGCCAUUCAGCAAGAAAGAAAAUGAUGCUGUAAUGAAUAAGGUAGUAUUUUCAUUGAAAUAUAAUACAUCCAAAAUACACACAACUGAAUCCAGAGACAGAGGCUGUGGAAAGAAUUAUGGACACAGAUUUUGGCAGAGUAGACCUGAAAAAUUCACAGAAAACCCAUAACCUUGUAAAACAGUUGUGUUAGCAAAAAGGACCAACCUAGACUAAAAGAAAUGAAGAGUUCUUGAGAAGUUAAAUACUUCUUGGUUUCCAAAUUCCUGCAAGUAGUUAAAUGGAUUGCCAAAAAGGACAUGUUCUCCAAUCCUCUCAUAGUUUGCUAAGGAAGUGAUAAAAGAGAAAUGAACUCCUAGAAGCCAAGGCUGAGAAUAAUGAUCUAUGGACUUAUUCCCAGAAUUUAAGUCAAAGAAUAUAUUCUACCCCCAGGUAAUGUCAAGUGGGAUUUCAGAAUUGUUACGGACCAUGACUACUAAAUACUUCCCAUCCUUCGUCUUUUAAAUGGGGGAGUUUGUUGCAGUUAUCCUGUCACUCUACUAUCAUCAUAUAACAGAUAAUUUGACUUUUUAGUUCACAGGUCUUCAGAUCAAGAGACACUACAACUAGAUGUCAUCAAAAUCAAGAUAUCUUGGACUUUGUGCCUGAUGUCAUGAUUGGGUGAAACUUUUGUAAGUCGUGUGAUAAGGAAAGGAGAAAGAAGCAGAUGUUUUCAGGAAGAUUGAUCUUAACUCUAACUAUACAGCUAAAAAUGAAAUCAUAGUCUAGUUGUUAUGAGUAUACUGAGAAGCUAAAGAAGAAUUUAAAUACUUAUUAUCUCUUUGUCAUACUUUAUAUUUUAAAAUGUUAGUAAUAAUAUAUACCUAACCUUGUUGUAAUGAGUAUAAAAGGCACUAUAUGAAAAGAUUUGACAUAGCAUUGUGACUCAGUAUAUUAUGAUCCAUGUUGUUCCUAACUGAAUUACCAGUUUUAUAUCUGAAUUCAUUUUAUAUCUAUUUUUGGAAUAUUAAAAAACUACAUUUUCAUUUGAUAAAUAGUCAUGAUUUCACACUAACAUCUUGAAAGCUGAUGAAAUAUUCCAACUAUAAUUUUGUUCUUAUAUAAUUCUACCAUUAACACAGACAUUUAGGCUGUUAGAAUGUCUUAUUUUUAUUGUCCAUUGCUAUGCUAAUGAUAUAUGCUAAUUUUGACUA